UGCUCGUCUAGAUGCCAGAGGAGGCAGGUGUGAAUAGAGUGGGGGCGGGCAAGAUGCUAGACGGGGAAAAUGUUCAACAUAAAUAUGUUUACAAUUUUCUUACAAUGUGCUAUACUUCAAAGGAGAUGAGGCUUUCAGAGCAUCUGGGGUCUUCCCUUUGAGAGAGAGAACAGGCUUGGUUUUUGGAGCACUAUGGAUUAUACCCCUUCCACUUAAAUGGCCACUUUCCUUUCACUCAGAUUCAUCCCUCGUGAAGAUGGAGAAGACAAGUUCACGUCCUGGUUCUCAAGGCUUGUGAGUGGGCAUAGAUUUGCCAGAAAAAGCAAGUUACUCGUGAUGACUUUGUCUCUCCCUUUCUGGUCCUGGCGACGUUACCAUCUUUCAUCUCUCCGGUGUGCAGGCCCUGCUCUCCAGAAUAGAGCUGAGAUCUCAGGCCCACGGGUGUACCUAUGGCUCCUAGAUGAGAUGUAAGACCAGGUUUGAAUACAAAUGAAGAUCUGCAAACCCAGACUGAGCUUUCAUCACCGAAACAAGAAAAAUAAACACA
rnacentral:lncRNA from 1 species